rnacentral:rRNA from 1 species
AGAGUUUGAUCAUGGCUCAGAACGUACGCUGGCGGCACGCCUUAUACAUGCAAGUCGAACGAAGUAGCAAUACUUAGUGGCAGACGGGUGAGUAACAUGUAGGUAUCUGCCCUUUGGCCUGGAAUAACACGAGGAAACUUGUGCUAAUACCGGAUAAGUCUUUACGGAGAAAGCUUUAUGCACCAUUGGAUGAGCCUGCACUUGAUUAGUUUGUUGGUGGGGUAAUGGCCUACCAAGACAAUGAUCAAUAGCUGAUUUGAGAGGAUGAUCAGCCACAUUGGAACUGAGACACGGUCCAAACUCCUACGGGAGGCAGCAGUAGGGAAUCUUGCACAAUGGAGGAAACUCUGAUGCAGCGAUGCCGCGUGAGUGAAGAAGGCCUUUGGGUUGUAAAGCUCUUUCGUCGGGGAAGAAAAUGACUGUACCCGAAUAAGAAGGUCCGGCUAACUUCGUGCCAGCAGCCGCGGUAAUACGAAGGGACCUAGCGUAGUUCGGAAUUACUGGGCUUAAAGAGUUCGUAGGUGGUUAAAAUAGUUGGUGGUGAAAUCCCAGAGCUUAACUCUGGAACUGCCAUCAAAACUUUUUAGCUAGAGUAUGAUAGAGGAAAGCAGAAUUUCUAGUGUAGAGGUGAAAUUCGUAGAUAUUAGAAAGAAUACCAAUUGCGAAGGCAGCUUUCUGGAUCAUUACUGACACUGAGGUGCGAAAGCAUGGGUAGCGAAGAGGAUUAGAUACCCUCGUAGUCCAUGCCGUAAACGAUGUGUGCUAGACGUUGGGAAUUUAUUUUUCAGUGUCGCAGCAAAAGCGUUAAGCACACCGCCUGGGGAGUACGACCGCAAGGUUAAAACUCAAAUGAAUUGACGGGGACCCGCACAAGUAGUGGAGCAUGUGGUUUAAUUCGAAGAUACGCGCAGAACCUUACCAACACUUGACAUGUUCGUCGCGACUCUAAGAGAUUAGAGUCUUCGGUUCGGCCGGACGAAACACAGGUGCUGCAUGGCUGUCGUCAGCUCGUGUCGUGAGAUGUUGGGUUAAGUCCCGCAACGAGCGCAACCCUUACUUUUAGUUACCAUCAUUUAGUUGGGCACUCUAAAAGAACUGCCAGUGAUAAGCUGGAGGAAGGUGGGGAUGACGUCAAGUCCUCAUGGCCCUUAUGUGUUGGGCUACACACGUGCUACAAUGGUACUUGCAAUGAGAUGCAAAGAGGCAACUCCUAGCAAACCCUCAAAGAAUACCUCAGUUCGGAUUGUACUCUGCAACUCGAGUACAUGAAGCUGGAAUUACUAGUAAUCGCAGAUCAGCGCGCUGCGGUGAAUACGUUCCCGGGUCUUGUACACACCGCCCGUCACACCAUGGAAGUUGGUUACACCUUAAGGCAAAGUGUAAAACCUUUGACUACGGUACGAUCAGCGACUGGGGUGAAGUCGUAACAAGGUAGCC